rfam:Saccharopolyspora erythraea NRRL2338 complete genome
ACCAGGUUCGUGGUGGUGCGGUGCAGGAAGUCGGUGCGGGCACACCGGAUUUUGCGGUGCGCCCGUGCGACCUUGGUCUUGGCUUUGCGGCGGUUGUUCGAGCCCUUCUGCUUGCGGGCCAUUUGCCGCUGGUAGCGGGCGAGGUUGCGGGCCUUGCGGUCCAGAUGCUUCGGGUUGGCGAUCUUCUCGCCGGUCGACAGGACAGCAAAGUCCUUCACACCCAGGUCCACCCCGACCGCGCUGCCGGUCUCGGGCUGCGGUUCGGGGUCGUCGGUGUCCACGGCCAAGGUCACAUACCAGCGGCCAUCCGGCUCGCGGGACACGAUCACCAUCGUCGGAUUCAGCGUUUCGAGGGUUUCGUCGUCCCAGGACCACACGAACUCAAGCGGCGCGGUGUGCUUCGCCAGAGUCAGCUUGCCGCCGCGCAAGCGGAAAGCGCUGCGCGUGUAGUGCGCCGACUGGCGGCCGUUGCGGGGCUUGAAACGCGGGUAGCGCGCACGCCCGGCGAAGAAGUUCGCAUACGCGGUGUGCUGGUGCCGCAACGUUUGCUGCAACGGCACCGACGAAACCUCGGACAGGAACGCCAGCUCGUCGG